rnacentral:rRNA from 1 species
CCUACGGGAGGCAGCAGUGGGGAAUAUUGGACAAUGGGGGGAACCCUGAUCCAGCCAUGCCGCGUGUGUGAAGAAGGCCCUCGGGUUGUAAAGCACUUUCAGUGAGGAAGAACGCCUGGUGGUUAAUACCCAUCAGGAAAGACAUCACUCACAGAAGAAGCACCGGCUAACUCCGUGCCAGCAGCCGCGGUAAUACGGAGGGUGCGAGCGUUAAUCGGAAUUACUGGGCGUAAAGCGCGCGUAGGUGGCUUGAUAAGCCGGUUGUGAAAGCCCCGGGCUCAACCUGGGAACGGCAUCCGGAACUGUCAAGCUAGAGUGCAGGAGAGGAAGGUAGAAUUCCCGGUGUAGCGGUGAAAUGCGUAGAGAUCGGGAGGAAGACCAGUGGCGAAGGCGGCCUUCUGGACUGACACUGACACUGAGGUGCGAAAGCGUGGGUAGCAAACAGGAUUAGAUACCCGGGUAGUC